rnacentral:rRNA from 1 species
GACGAACGCUGGCGGCGUGCUUAACACAUGCAAGUCGAACGGAAAGGCCCUGCUUGCGGGGGACUCGAGUGUCGAACGCGUGAGUAACACGUGUGUGAUCUGCGCUGCACUCCGGGAUAUGCCUGGGGAACUGUGGCUAAUAUCGGAGAGGAGCCCUCCUGCUGGUGGUGGUUGGAAAGUUUUUUCGGUGUGGGAUGAGCUCGCGGCCUAUCAGCUUGUUGGUGGGGUAAUGGCUUACCAAGGCGGUGACGGGUAGCCGGCCUGAGAGGGUGGACGGCCACAUUGGGACUGAGAUACGGCCCAGACUCCUACGGGAGGCAGCAGUGGGGAAUAUUGCACAAUGGGCGGAAGCCUGAUGCAGCGACGCCGCGUGGGGGAUGACGGCCUUCGGGUUGUAAACUCCUUUCGCUAGGGACGAAGCGUGUGUGACGGUACCGGGAUAAGAAGCACCGGCUAACUACGUG